rnacentral:lncRNA from 1 species
UAAAGUGAUGGAAAUCGUAGACUUAUGCAGUUAUGCUUUGUAUUAUCACUACGAUUAUAACUUUGGCUUCUGUUCUACUAUCUGAUUGCUGGGCUUGAUGUGCAGACUUCUUUUUUGUUCUUCGAACACUUUAGCAGCUCUUCGAUACAGAAGACAACUCUUGAUUUUGUUGUCUCUUGAUCCUUUACUUCUCCUAGGUUGUCUGCUUCACCGCUCUUGAUUUAUUCUGCG